GGGGGGAGCAAGCGUUGUUCGGAUUUACUGGGCGUAAAGGGCGCGUAGGCGGCCUGUGCAAGUCAGUUGUGAAAUCUCCGAGCUUAACUCGGAAAGGUCAACUGAUACUGCUCGGCUAGAGUGCGGAAGGGGCAACUGGAAUUCUUGGUGUAGCGGUGAAAUGCGUAGAUAUCAAGAGGAACACCUGCGGCGAAGGCGGGUUGCUGGGCCGACACUGACGCUGAGGCGCGAAAGCUAGGGGAGCGAACGGGAUUAGAUACCCCGGUAGUCCUAGCCUUAAACGAUGAAUGCUUGGUGUCUGGGGUUAUAUAGUCCCCGGGUGCCGUCGCUAACGCUUUAAGCAUUCCGCCUGGGGAGUACGGUCGCAAGACUG
rnacentral:rRNA from 1 species